UGCCAGCCGCCGCGGUAAUACGGAGGGGGCUAGCGUUGUUCGGAAUUACUGGGCGUAAAGCGCGCGUAGGCGGUUUAUCAAGUCAGACGUGAAAUCCCCGGGCUCAACCCCGGAAGUGCAUUGGAUACUGGCAGUCUUGAGUAUGGGAGAGGAAAGUGGAAUUCCGAGUGUAGGGGUGAAAUCCGUAGAUAUUCGGAGGAACACCAGUGGCGAAGGCGGCUUUCUGGACCGAUACUGACGCUGAGACGCGAAAGCGUGGGGAGCAAACAGGAUUAGAUA
rnacentral:rRNA from 1 species